AGUGAACGCUGGCGGUAGGCCUAACACAUGCAAGUCGAACGGCAGCACAGUAAGAGCUUGCUCUUACGGGUGGCGAGUGGCGGACGGGUGAGGAAUACAUCGGAAUCUACUUUUUCGUGGGGGAUAACGUAGGGAAACUUACGCUAAUACCGCAUACGACCUACGGGUGAAAGCAGGGGAUCUUCGGACCUUGCGCGAUUGAAUGAGCCGAUGUCGGAUUAGCUAGUUGGCGGGGUAAAGGCCCACCAAGGCGACGAUCCGUAGCUGGUCUGAGAGGUUGAUCAGCCACACUGGAACUGAGACACGGUCCAGACUCCUACGGGAGGCAGCAGUGGGGAAUAUUGGACAAUGGGCGCAAGCCUGAUCCAGCCAUACCGCGUGGGUGAAGAAGGCCUUCGGGUUGUAAAGCCCCUUUGUUGGGAAAGAAAAGCAGCAGGUUAAUACCCCGCUGUUCUGACGGUACCCAAAGAAUAAGCACCGGCUAACUUCGUG
rnacentral:rRNA from 1 species